GACGAACGCUGGCGGCGUGCUUCACACAUGCAAGUCGAACGGAAAGGCCCUGCUUUUGUGGGGUGCUCGAGUGGCGAACGGGUGAGUAACACGUGAGUAACCUGCCCUUGACUUUGGGAUAACUUCAGGAAACUGGGGCUAAUACCGGAUAGGAGCUCCUGCUGCAUGGUGGGGGUUGGAAAGUUUCGGCGGUUGGGGAUGGACUCGCGGCUUAUCAGCUUGUUGGUGGGGUAGUGGCUUACCAAGGCUUUGACGGGUAGCCGGCCUGAGAGGGUGACCGGCCACAUUGGGACUGAGAAACGCCCCAGACUCCUACGGGAGGCAGCAGUGGGGAAUAUUGCACAAUAGGCGGAAGCCAGAUGCAGCAGCGCCGCGUGCGGGAUGACGGCCGUCGGGUUGUAUACCGCUUUGGCCUGUGGCGAAGCGUGUGUGACGGUAAUGGGUAAAGAAGCGCCGGCUAACUACGUG
rnacentral:rRNA from 1 species